UAUACAUAUAUAUAGAUAUAUAUGUUCAUUCAAUAUAGGUUCAUUCGUUUAUAUAUAUAUAUGAGUGGGUGUAUAAACGAAUGAACCACUUACAUUCUAUUUCUAUUUCAAAGUUAUGAACUAUUACCUAUGUAAGAAGGACAUAUAGAAAUCCGAUUUGUCCUCGUAAUGCUAAAUAAAGAAACUACAUAGGUAUAUAAAAAGGAAGACAGGCUGAUUUGAGAUCAUCGAUCCACCUCGUUUGCGAACACGUAUACCGGAGGGUUGAAUCUUUCUUCUAUUACGAAGCACAACUUAAUUUAAUGCAAAGAGUGCGUUCAAUUACGAUCCUUUUGCCUAAGGUUUCCAGAGUGUUCAGAAAGAGAAAAAAGAACGCCCUAUAACAACCCUGUCACGCAAGAAAUCCAAAGGGGAUCCAAGAAUUGCUUACUGUCACGCAAUACCAAAACGAAACUGACCAUACAUAUAACUUCCGUUAUGACAAUAUCACAUCGCAAAGUGAACCUACUUAGUUUGAUGGAAGGUGCGCCAGUAUAUCCGUCGCGAAAAGCUGUUACGAUGGAAAAUCAAGAAUAUCUAUACGCGAAGAAGCUUUACGACUGUCUUUAACGUUGUCCUUGCCAAGAGAAAAGUUUUAAAAAAUGCAUCGAGGUUGUGAUCGUUUUGCCAUCGUUAGCGAUAACUUUAACAUGCACUACGAUCCAUCAUCAAAGAUAUACAUAACUCGAUACUUCACGAGCUAAAACCCUCGACCGACCAACCAACGGUCGUAUGAAUGUUGCGGAAAGCUAACUUGCUGCUAAGCUACAACGUUAUUUUACAACGAGACACAGGAAGAGAACGUUGCGAAAGAGUACGAACGAUGAUCAGAUACUAAAUUAAUAAUUCUACUGUUGGCUUAAUAAUAUGCGAGUAACGUACUCGUAUGGAACCGAAUGAGUUAUUCCCUGGCCUCGGACAUAUUUACAUAGAUUCAUAGGGUAGUAAAGUAACUCGUUUCUGACUCUACCAGUGAAAAGUUCAACGCAUCGAAUCUCAUAGCCAUAACCAAAGGAUAUACUUAUGUAUCGCACGUUAUCGGAUCGGUCAACCGAUCUCGGCGCGUUAAGACACCUAAUUACAUGUUCCGUUCGACGCACACAUUCUACGAACUGGUGGUUGCUCGGAGACAGAAAGUACCCGAAGCAGAGACCGACUUACAGAAUCGCUUACGUCUCUUGGGCCUUCGAUGCGUAAGAUCUUUCUCAAGAAGGAGAGAGACAGAGAAUUAAUUACAUUGCGUAAUAUAAUUACUGUAUUCGUCUUUGAUAUAUAUAUAUAUUCUUUUUUCUAGUUAGAACCAUACAAUGAAUAAAAAUAAUCAAGCUUAAAAAUUUCUUUUAAGACGAUCCAAAGUUUUACAAUUAAGUGAAGCAAGGUCAUCACGGUCACAUAAUUACUGAGACUACUGUAUGUUUACCUUCUAUAUAUAUCUUUUUUCAAAUAUAUAUCCAUUCCGAAGAAAAUAAAUGAUAAAGUGAUAGAAAUAAUCAAACUUAAAAAAUCCUUUUUCUUUAAAAUAAUUCAAAUAUUUCAAUUUGGUACCAAAUCAUCACAAUCAUGCACAUAUAGGAUGGUCCAAAAAUUUCUACGUAGGCCAAAAUUUCUUAAAUGAUUAAAUAAAAAUUACUUCUUUUCGAGACUUUUUAGGCUUAUAGUUGAGCUUGUAACUUUACCAACAAAUCCAGUAAUUUUACAGUCUGAAAAGAAAAUUAGCCUGAAAGAUUUCGAAAGAGAGUAAUUGAUUUUUAAUAUUACCUAAUAUCUUUUGGCUCAUCUAGGAACUCCUUUGGUCCAUCCUAUGUAUAAAAAUAAAAAAAUAUAUAUAAAUUUAUUAUUACCUUGGCAUC